rnacentral:rRNA from 1 species
CACAACCCAGAACGGUGGAUCACUCGGCUCGU